rnacentral:rRNA from 1 species
GAUGAACGCUGGCGGCGUGCCUAAUACAUGCAGGUCGAGCGAACAGAUAAGGAGCUUGCUCCUUUGACGUUAGCGGCGGACGGGUGAGUAACACGUGGAUAACCUACCUAUAAGACUGGGAUAACUUCGGGAAACCGGAGCUAAUACCGGAUAAUAUAUUGAACCGCAUGGUUCAAUAGUGAAAGGCGGCUUUGCUGUCACUUAUAGAUGGAUCCGCGCCGCAUUAGCUAGUUGGUAAGGUAACGGCUUACCAAGGCAACGAUGCGUAGCCGACCUGAGAGGGUGAUCGGCCACACUGGAACUGAGACACGGUCCAGACUCCUACGGGAGGCAGCAGUAGGGAAUCUUCCGCAAUGGGCGAAAGCCUGACGGAGCAACGCCGCGUGAGUGAUGAAGGUCUUCGGAUCGUAAAACUCUGUUAUCAGGGAAGAACAAAUGUGUAAGUAACUGUGCACAUCUUGACGGUACCUGAUCAGAAAGCCACGGCUAACUACGUG